rnacentral:rRNA from 1 species
GCGUAAAGGGCUCGCAGGCGGUUUCUUAAGUCUGAUGUGAAAGCCCCCGGCUCAACCGGGGAGGGUCAUUGGAAACUGGGGAACUUGAGUGCACAAGAGGAGAGUGGAAUUCCACGUGUAGCGGUGAAAUGCGUAGAGAUGUGGAGGAACACCAGUGGCGAAGGCGACUCUCUGGUCUGUAACUGACGCUGAGGAGCGAAAGCGUGGGGAGCGAACAGGAUUAGAUACCCUGGUAGUCCACGCCGUAAACGAUGAGUGCUAAGUGUUAGGGGGUUUCCGCCCCUUAGUGCUGCAGCUAACGCAUUAAGCACUCCGCCUGGGGAGUACGGUCGCAAGACUGAAACUCAAAGGAAUUGACGGGGGCCCGCACAAGCGGUGGAGCAUGUGGUUUAAUUCGAAGCAACGCGAAGAACCUUACCAGGUCUUGACAUCCUCUGACAAUCCUAGAGAUAGGACGUCCCCUUCGGGGGCAGAGUGACAGGUGGUGCAUGGUUGUCGUCAGCUCGUGUCGUGAGAUGUUGGGUUAAGUCCCGCAACGAGCGCAACCCUUGAUCUUAGUUGCCAGCAUUCAGUUGGGCACUCUAAGGUGACUGCCGGUGACAAACCGGAGGAAGGUGGGGAUGACGUCAAAUCAUCAUGCCCCUUAUGACCUGGGCUACACACGUGCUACAAUGGACAGAACAAAGGGCAGCGAAACCGCGAGGUUAAGCCAAUCCCACAAAUCUGUUCUCAGUUCGGAUCGCAGUCUGCAACUCGACUG